rnacentral:tRNA from 1 species
CAAAGUAGAGCUUGAGAGUUAAGCAUUUCAUUUACAUUGAAAGGAUGCCGUGCGAUUCGGUUAUUUUGA